AGCGGCGGACGGGUGAGUAACGCGUGGGUAACCUGCCCUGUACACACGGAUAACAUACCGAAAGGUAUGCUAAUACGAGAUAAUAUACUUUUAUCGCAUGGUAGAAGUAUCAAAGCUCCGGCGGUACAGGAUGGACCCGCGUCUGAUUAGCUAGUUGGUAAGGUAACGGCUUACCAAGGCGACGAUCAGUAGCCGACCUGAGAGGGUGAUCGGCCACAUUGGAACUGAGACACGGUCCAAACUCCUACGGGAGGCAGCAGUGGGGAAUAUUGCACAAUGGGCGAAAGCCUGAUGCAGCAACGCCGCGUGAGCGAUGAAGGCCUUCGGGUCGUAAAGCUCUGUCCUCAAGGAAGAUAAUGACGGUACUUGAGGAGGAAGCCCCGGCUAACUACGUGCCAGCAGCCGCGGUAAUACGUAGGGGGCUAGCGUUAUCCGGAAUUACUGGGCGUAAAGGGUGCGUAGGUGGUUUCUUAAGUCAGAGGUGAAAGGCUACGGCUCAACCGUAGUAAGCCUUUGAAACUGGGAAACUUGAGUGCAGGAGAGGAGAGUGGAAUUCCUAGUGUAGCGGUGAAAUGCGUAGAUAUUAGGAGGAACACCAGUUGCGAAGGCGGCUCUCUGGACUGUAACUGACACUGAGGCACGAAAGCGUGGGGAGCAAACAGGAUUAGAUACCCUGGUAGUCCACGCCGUAACGAUGAGUACUAGCUGU
rnacentral:rRNA from 1 species